rnacentral:rRNA from 1 species
GUGGGGAAUUUUGCGCAAUGGGGGAAACCCUGACGCAGCAACGCCGCGUGAGUGAUGAAGGCCUUCGGGUCGUAAAGCUCUGUCAGAGGGGAAGAAAUGCAGGGGUGCUAAUAUCAUCUUUGCUUGACGGUACCCUCAAAGGAAGCACCGGCUAACUCCGUGCCAGCAGCCGCGGUAAUACGGAGGGUGCGAGCGUUGUUCGGAAUUAUUGGGCGUAAAGCGCGUGUAGGCGGUUUGAUAAGUCUGAUGUGAAAGCCCCGGGCUCAACCUGGGAAGUGCAUUGGAAACUGGCAGACUUGAAUACGGGAGAGGGUAGGGGAAUUCCUAGUGUAGGAGUGAAAUCCGUAGAUAUUAGGAGGAACACCGGUGGCGAAGGCGGCUACCUGGACCGAUAUUGACGCUGAGACGCGAAAGCGUGGGGAGCAAACAG